ACCCGAAUUGUCAUGUGAGCUAUUGUCACAUUUAGGUGUUGUCAUGAGUAGUAGGAGGAAUAGCAUGCCAGUACUGUUUGACUCACCGAACCCGAAUUGUCAUGUGAGCUAUUGUCACAUUUAGGUGUUGUCAUGAGUAGUAGGAGGAAUAGCAUGCCAGUACUGUUUGACUCACCGAACCCAAAUUGUCAUGUGAGUUAUUGUCACAUCUAGGUGUUGUCAUGAGUAGUAGGAGGAAUAGCAUGCCAAUACUGUUUGACUCACCGAACCCGAAUUGUCAUGUGAGCUAUUGUCACAUCUAGGUGUUGUCAUGAGUAGUAGGAGGAAUAGCAUGCCAGUACUGUUCGACUCACCAAACCCGAAUUGUCAUGUGAGCUAUUGUCACAUCUAGGUGUUGUCAUGAGUAGUAGGAGGAAUAGCAUGCUAGUACUGUUCGACUCACCGAACCCGAAUUGUCAUGUGAGCUAUUGUCACAUCUAGGUGUUGUCAUGAGUAGUAGGAGGAAUAGCAUGCCAGUACUGUUCGACUCACCGAACCCAAAUUGUCAUGUGACUCAUCAAACCAAAAUUCAACCAUUAAAUACUUUUUGAUUGAA